UUUCAGGGAUCAUUUCUAUAGUCCGUUACUAGAGAAGUUUCUCUGAACGUGUAGAGCACCCGAAACCACGAGGAGGAGAUGCAGCAUUCUCUCCUGAGCGUGAAGCCGGCUCUCGGUGUUGCUUCGGCAACUGCCGCUUGCCAUUGAUGAUCGUUCUUCUCUCUCUCGGGGGAGAAGAGGGAGAGGAUGCAUUCUGAGUGGCUUUCGGUUUUUUACUCGGUUGAAAAAGUAGAGUGAGUUCGGAAUCACCUUUGUAACUUGUUUCCGCAGUAGUGGGGAACUACUCUGGAUACUUUAGAAAGAAAGAGUAAAGGAGAAGGGGAGAGAGAGAGAAGCAUCAAUGUGAGAGAGAAACAUCGAUAGCUUACCCCCUGUACCAACCCACAACCAGGGCAUGUGUUCUGACCAGGAACUGAACAAGCAAACUUUUGGUGCACAGAACGACACUCUAACUGAACCGCACCCACUGAGCCCCACCAGGGCAUUCUCGACGACGUCCUUGGUGACUGCAAGGACUUGGAGACAACGUAACGUCCAUCAUUGAGAGACCGUCUUCCUUGGUUUAUCACUUCCUGAUGCCGUUCGGAUGAAUCCUCACUCUGGUCUUGUUGCUCCUCCUUUCAUUUUGGCUGUAAUCAUUCUGCUGUUCAACCCAUUUAUGGAUUGAGGCACUGGGGCAGG